GGACCCGCACAAGUAGUGGAGCAUGUGGUUUAAUUCGAAGAUACGCGCAGAACCUUACCAACACUUGACAUGUUCGUCGCGACUUUAAGAGAUUAAAGUUUUCGGUUCGGCCGGACGAAACACAGGUGCUGCAUGGCUGUCGUCAGCUCGUGUCGUGAGAUGUUGGUUAAGUCCCGCAACGAGCGCAACCCUCAUUUUUAGUUGCCAUCAUUAAGUUGGGCACUCUGAAAAAAGCUGCCAGUGAUAAGCUGGAGGAAGGUGGGGAUGACGUCAAGUCCUCAUGGCCCUUACGUGUUGGGCUACACACGUGCUACAAUGGUGGUGACAGUGGGCAGCAAUACUGCAAAGUAAAG
rnacentral:rRNA from 1 species